rnacentral:rRNA from 1 species
GAUGAACGCUGGCGGCGUGCUUAACACAUGCAAGUCGAACGGAAAGGCCCUGCGUUUGUGGGGUGCUCGUGGGGCGCACGGGUGAGUAACACGUGAGUAUCCUGCCCUUGUCUUUCGGAUAACUUCAGGAAACUGGGGCUAAUACCAGAUAGGAGCUCCUGCAGCAUGGUGGGGGUUGGUAAGUUUCGGCGGUUGGGGCUGGACUAGCUGCUUAUCAGCUUGUUUGUGGGGUAGGGGCUUUCCAAGUCUUUGGAUGGUAGCCGGCCUGAGAGGGUGAACAGCGACAAGGGUACUGCGAGACGGCCCAGAAGGCUAUGGUAGGCAGCAGUGGGGAACAUGGCACAGUGGGCGCAAGUCUGAGGCAGCAACGCUGCGUGCGUGAUGACCUCUUUCUGGUGGAAAACCGCUGUCGCCUGAGACGAAGCGUUAGUGACGGUAAUGGGUAAAGAAGCACCGGCUAACUACGUG